CCAAGCCGGCCACUGGUAGGACACACCUCACUUGUGUCUUGCCUUGUGGGGGUCACUAUCUUUGUUGCCUGAUGUCUGCUGUUUAGAGAACCAGUGUCUCAUAUAUUCAGUAGGUUUGUUACCAAUGCGUUUCCCAACUGAACAGACACAGCUUCUCGGGUUAAGAGGAACCGAGCCUGGGUCCUUCUAGGCCACUCUUCCUGCCCGCCGGUCCCAUGGUCUGUGCAGGCAUCAGGAGUGUUUAUGGAGCACAGCCGACAGCCUCACGGAGUCUGGAGGAGAGAGCGCUGUGACCCCAGCAGCGUCAAGACGCUCCUGCCUUCCUGUCAUGUUCAGAGGGAGUGACAGAGAGCUCAGACAGCCUCCUUGCUGGCACGUGACACUCUCCGACUGUCUCCACCUCCCCUGUCUGGCCAUCUGCCCUCACCAGGCCUCACCCUCAUUCCUAAUCCAUCUUAGCACCCAGGAAACCUCUCUCAGCCACAAGUGGCUUCGCCUUGCAUAUUAGUGAUUCGAGCAUGGCUUUUCUUUUGGAGACUCCUGGCUCCUUGAGCAAGGUGAUCAGAUCUUAGUCCACUUUCUAAUGACCCAUAGGGCAGCUGGUGCGGGCUUGGUAAAGGCACGGUUUACGUCUGAUUUAUCUUUGUACUCCCAGCUCCUAGCACAGUGCUGGGUACUGAGUGUGCGCUGCAUGUAUCUGGUGGAUGAAUGAACGAAUGAAUGAAUGAGCACCUUCAGGAUUUGUCUUCUCAAAUAUGAACCAGCAGAAUGGCCACAUGAUAAGCUAUCUUGUCCUCUCUGGGGUGAGAUACUAGCAAGGGGCAGGCCUAGCAGGCAGCCCAAAGGUUGGGGUCCUCACCCUGUCCUCUGGGAAAGUUGCUUCUUCAUCUUGAGCCUCAGUAUUUAUUCUCUUCUGAAAUGACACCUCCCCAGGCUUCCUGCAGCUCCGGCAUUCUCUAAUUGACUCAAGCAAGGAUAAAUAAGGACAUAGCCUUUGAACACAACAGCUGGCUUCCUGAGCAAAAUCCAAGACCUAUGCCUCGACUGGGUUUCACAAAUGCCUCCCCCUUUCCCUAUCCAUUAGCAUCUCUGCCUGGGGUUGUUUCCUUCUGUGCACACAGUGAUCAGUGUCCUGCUGAAUAUCAGAGGGGGACCCUAGGCAGAGGACACUCUCAACCAGGGCUCCCUGCUUUCAGGAUCAACUGUGUUUGGAAAAGUGAUCACGAAAAGAAAAUUCCCGUGCCGUUAAUAGAAAUUGUAAGGCAAAGAGGCACUGAAAUCUAGCACCAAAUUCCAGGUAGAUGCAAUUUCCAAACAAGGAUCCUAUUGGCACGUUUGUUCAAAGGACAGUUCUACCUUAUGUGGAAAUAACUAGUUCACUGGCAUUAGCAUCCAUAGCUUCGGGGAUUGCUCAUUGUGCUGACCAAAGGUAGCCCCCCACCCCCUAGGUCCAAGAGCUCCUGACCCGAGGUGCAGCCCCUGGCUAUGAUCACAAAUGGGUAGAUUUAUUCCCCAGCCUUGGGAUGUUGGGGAACCUUCCUGGGAAAGGCAAGGCCCUGGGGACUUGCCCAGAUGUAUUACAGCCCAAGGGAGAGUCACAGAGGCUGAAACUGCUUCCUUGGCAGUGAAAAUAAGGGGCAAAGCUUUGGGUGUGGGGCCGAUGUAGAGGGAACAGCCUCCAAUGAUCCACUUGCAUUUCUGAGUCCCAGAGCGGCUGCUGCUGUAGGAAGGUACAGCCUGGAUCUGUGCUGAGUCACCCCAGGAAGACACAGGCAAAGCAGGGACACCCCCGACCUGAGGGAUUAAGGGAGCUCUGGCUUUGAUAUUUCACCAAAAAAUCAUUGAACAAGUUCAUCACGGGGGAAAUGCGAAUCCUUUUGGCCCUCUUUCCUGUUAUUUUAUAGUUUAUCCCUAUUUUCAAGUCUGUGCUCUGCAUCUUUUAGGUGUUGGUUGGGCUUGCAGAGCAGCCCUUGGUGUCCCUGUCCCAGCCAAUUCACAGGAAGCCUUGCUGAUUCUGCUCAGGCUCUGUGAGGAUCGGAGGUCCAACCCUGGGGACCUCACAUUUGUUAAUGAGGUUUUAGCACCUGUCCCCUGGGGAGCGCAUAAUGCUUUCUGGAUCACUUAAUCCAGCUGCCCUGCCGUUAAUUCAGCUACAAAUGAUAACCACUCCCUUCUCUCCAUCUCCUUUCUGUCUUUCUUUGUUCUGCACGGGAGGGCACAAAAGUGCAAGCACUUGGGAAAAGCACUGGGCUUGUUCUUACACUGUCAAUCACACUCACACCACAGGAUCCAGCAAUCCUGCUCCUAGCAUUUAUCCAAGAGAAAUGUGAAAACGUGGUGCAUGCACAUGUUUACUUUCACAGUAGUCAGAGACCCGGAAAGAGCCUAAGGGUCCAACAGGUGAGUGGAUAAACAAAUCGUGGCACACACAUCAGGGGAAACUAUUCAGGGAUAACAAGAAAGGAACUUCAGAGAAUGCAACAAAGCGCUAUGCUAAAUAAAGGCAGCAGAAAAAUAGUAAAAAGCACCUGGCACGAUUCCACUUAUGUGAAUGUCGGGAACAAGCAAACCUAAUGAUUUUAGAGCUCAAUAGUGGCUGGCCCCAGGGUGGGGACAGGCUAGAGAGAGGCCCAGGGGUGUCUGUCUGGGGGGGCUGGAAAGGUUCUGUCAUGAUGGAGGUGGCUCUCGCUGGUGUCUGCCUUUGUCAAAGUGGUCAGAUGGUGCAGUUAGGUGGAACUCACACCUGGGUGAGAACAAUGGGAAGGUCAGCCACCUGUUCCCCACCGUGACUGCAGCCCUCAAGGUGCCCAUGACUAAGCCCAGAGAGUCUGGGCUGUAAUUUUGAUUCUCUUGCAUAUAUCACUACCAUCUUGAAGACCUGCCUUACUAAAGCUAGUUGUACUGUCUGUCUGUCCAUCCCUUCUCUCCCUUACCAUGUUCCCUCCCUCCUCCUUUUACCUCUUUCUCUUCCCUCCCUUUCUCCCUCCCUCUCCUCUCCCAUUCCUUUUGCAGUUCUCUGCACUUCUUUCCAGUUGUAUCUGGGUCUUCUCAGUAUUUCGGGACGAGGUUGUGGGGUGUGUUUUCUUUUCUCCAAGGGAUGAGAAUCAGCCUCCAAUUUGCUUGUGCUUUUGGUGAACCCCAACACUGCCCAUGCCAGGCAGGUUCACCCCAAACACUCCAUGGAAUCACAUAAGGAUGGGAGGGCCUUGUAAUAAACACAGAGUGCUCCCGGUUCUGGCUGCCCCCAUGCAGGCAGAGCUAGCUGCAGGUACCCCUGCCCGGGCCAAACCCCAGAGAGCCAGCCUCCUGCAAGAAACCAACACCCGACAGGCCUGCUUUUCUCUCCUCCCUCCCCCAUAGUACCCUCUGAGACUGGCUCCCCGCCCCCCACCUGCAGAGGAACCAGAUUUAAUGCCUCAACUGAGAGAAUGAGAUGUUCUGUUAUUUUUCAUGGGAAAUUAAACCUGACCCUGCUGUCAGUUAACUCAUGCCAAGGGAGGAUGGAUGGCCAUGCGCCGUGCUUAACCCCUGCUCUGCGCAGCCCAGGCCUGGAUGGAGGGCAGCCUGGCGGGGGGCCAGCCAUGAUGUCAUCUGCUUCCGGGUGGGGGCAGGGAUGGCAGGAAAGGUCAGAGGGCCUCCAUCUGGGGGGUGAUGGCAACCCUGUCCUCUGGCCCUGGCUAAACCAGCUCGUUCAGGGAGACUCAGGCUGUUCCUGUCUCUUCCAGCUCCCAACUCUACCUCGUGCCCUGCUGAGGAAAGCUGGUGGUCAGGGCUGGUGAUCGUCAUUGCCGUAUGUUGUGCCUCUCUGGUGUUUCUGACUGUCCUUGUCAUCAUUUGCUACAAAGCCAUAAAAAGGAACCAUGCCAUUUAGGGGGCCCUUGGUGGCCAUCUCUGCCUGGACCAGGGUGGAGAUGUUUGUCCUGGCUUGGCAGGAUCAGCCUUGCCUGGCCCGUGGAGCUGGGAGCCAGGCUGGGUCCUAGUAUCUCCCUCCACCCCAUCCGGAGCCCCAUGGGGCACACGACAGGAAACCCCUGCGAAAAGAUGAAAAUGGCACCAGCGUUGCUGAGUAUCCCAUGAGCUCCUCCCAGAGCACCAAAGGGGUGGAUGUGAGCAACGCAAUGGUGUGAGUCUGCAGGCCCUGGACCCGCUGGCCAGAGGGAUACCUUGAUGGCACUAGUGGACAUGGGAAGUUGAGCCUGGCUUUGUCCAGGACUUCAUUGCCUUGCAGGCCUCCAGCCUCCUGAAGGAGAAACCAUCCUCUUCCCAGGCCAGCCCCAGUUGGCCCAUAGGCAGGGGCCUAGACGCGGGGUCCCCUGCAUGCAGCGCCUGGGGCAGCGUCACCGCCCAGGGCUCUCCACAUUCUCCUCCUUGUCUUGUGUUUGGUCCACUGACUGUCCCCCAACUGCUGUCUAAAGCACAUGCUCUGACGAAGGCAGAAAGUCUGUAUGCCUGUGGGGAAGGGAGGCACCCUCUUUUAGGUAAAAGAGAGUGAAAGGGGGGCCACUCCCCAGCCUGAAGUCCUCUCCUCCUCCAGGAAGCAGCCGGCUUCUCUGUGGACAUCCCAACAGAAGCCAUGGGCACAGCCAUGAGACAGAGGCCCCCUUCAAAGGUGCUUCUCACACAUCUGUCCAUCACCCCGUGUGUAACUGUCCUCAGCCUUCAGGGCCUGUGUCUGCCCUCCUGUUCCCACCCACACCCUGGCUGUGGCUCCUGCCUACCUGCCAUGGGGCGUGUUGAGCCCAGCCUGAGAACCCCUGUGACCAGACCCAGGGGCUCUUUACGUGCGGGGCAAUGUGCCAGAAGCCUAGGCUAGGGGUGUCCAGAAAGGGGCAGCGGCCCUUACACCACACUGGGGUGCAGGAACCCCACGUUCACGUGAGCCAGGCCCUGCCUCAUCGAACAGAAGUCAUCACUUGUGCCAAACCCACUGGGUUACUCUGAGCUAGGCCAAUGCUGGCCUAGAGUCCUGCCUCCCUGACUGUCCCCUGAGGCCUGGCAGUGGUAUCCGGAACCUCUUCUGAGAGCCCCUAGAAGGCAGGGUUCUCUUCCUGUGUCCUGUGGUCCAGUGCUCUAGAUGUGCCGAACCCUCCUGAGUGUGGAAGAGGGAGGGCAGGGGCAGGAGCCUCCAGGCUUGGCCACCUCUGCCCUGCCCACCAGGUUUCCAGAGGGCCACCUCCCAGUGGGACACGUCACUAGGUCUGUGGAGACAGGGGGCUUGUGAGCUUACCUCCCUUGGAAAGUUAGAACGCUCUUGACCCUGUGGUUCCCCUCACCACCCUCACAUACCUGCUCAGAAGGAAUCAGAAACAUUUAAUGAUUACAGCCUGUGGCCCUUAGGGAUUUAGCUGGCUGGACCUUGUUCGCCUCCUACACACACCACCAUUGUACUUCUCUAGCAGGUAUUUGGGUUGCAGUGAGACCCUCAAAUCCAGGAAAGACUGAUAGACAUGAAAGCCAGUUCCCACUUGGCCAAAAUGUCCACUGUCCCAGGGCCCUGUGCCCGGAGCUGUCUGUCUGUCCUUCCCUUGGCCGGAGCAUGCACAUUAAGGACAGACCCAGCAUAUGCUCCCCCACAGAGGGUUUUGUCUUCCUUUCCCUUUUCCUCCUUCAACUUGAGGACUUGUUUGAAUUUCACUUUCCUGGCACACCUUGAUAUCACCAUAGUGCUGCCAACCGCCCCCACCCAGCUGAGCUCUUGGUGGUACUCUUAGGAUGCAGUCAGGUGACAAACAGGCCAGAGGAGAGGGGUUGGGGGCAAGGCAGGAGGGAGAAGCCAUCUGUGAGGGGUGGCACACCCCACCCCAGGGCACUAUGCCCUGCUGACCACAGCCUCCUGGUGCCUGCUGAGCCCCCUCCCUGAGUACAUACCUGGGCAGGUGAGCAGGAGCUCAGUCCUAAACACAGAGCACCUUGGGCUUCAUGGGGGAAAAGCUGGUGCCCCGGGCUGGUCUAGAGUGGCCAGAGGGUGCCUUUGGCUGGAGGCUCUUGGCUGAGGGGCCUGGUGGACUAGGGCAGCCCAGAAAGGCUGGGCAUGGCUGAGUAUCCACACACCCACUGGUUCCACUAUCCUUGACUAUGGCUUAAACAUAGAAAGCCUAGAUUAUCCAGUUAGGCUGUAGGAACCUGGCUGAGCUGCCCAUCACGCCAGCCCCCAAGACACCCAGGGCUCCAGUUCGCAUGUAAAUUCCCCUCCGUCCACCUUGUAGAGUCCCUUCUCAGCCAGGUAGAGAAAACCAAGGGAAGAGUCACAUUUUUUUAAAAAAAGGUUCAGUUGAGAACAAAGCCCCCAAAUUCAGGGCUGCUGUUCAGAGGACACAUCUCACGGCACAGCGAGGAAGGCCACCAGGCUUCCACCUCAGGACACUGACUUGAACGUUAGACUGCUGCAGCCUAGUAAGUGGCUUGGCGCUUUUGUUUAAAUCUGCAGCCCCUCAACCCACACCUCUUCUCAGAUUGGCCUGAGCUCUGAGGUCGAGAAUGAGAUGCACAUUCCCUCUCCGCAUUUUCUCAGAUGUUUCUCAACUGUCUGGCAGUCGAGCCCCACUUUGGAACUCAGUGGCAUUUGGGAGCUCCCAGAGUUACCAGGUGUUCCUAAGAGGCUUCUAGGGAAGUUUCGGGAGAAAGACUAAUAGGUGUAAAGAUAUAAGCAUAUAUAUUAUAUAGUUAUAUAUUUAAAGAAAUAUCUCUAUAUAUAUAAUUACUGUACUCUGCAUCUGUACAAAGUAUGAUCUCAACAGCCCAGGUAGUGUGAGACAUGUAAUGCAUGAAUAUAAAUAUCCCGAACUCUGCCUUCUUAGUGAUGUGCCAUGUGUAUGGGGACGAUGCUCUUGUUCCUAGGCAUUCUGUCUCGAUGGACAGAUAUACCUGUCUGUGCCAUCUUGUCCACCAAUGAGCCAUUCAUGUCGAUUUCGUGCUGAGACUUCUGUACAGGAGGCGGGACUGGCAGCCUGGGGGGUGCGCUAUAUGCUCCUUUUGAGGAAAGAAGCACCAUGACUUUUUUAUUUUCAAUAAAAAUAUACUUAAAAGGU